GGAGAGGAGUGGAGAGGUGUGGAGUGGAGUGGAGUGGAGAGGAGAGGAGAGAGAGGAGGCGAGAGGGAAGAGGUAGGUGCAGGCCAGAGGGGCUGAGACAGGCGGGUGCCCCCCCCCUCACCUGCUCUGACUCCCGUCCCCCCCCAGC
rnacentral:miRNA from 1 species